rnacentral:rRNA from 1 species
GACGAACGCUGGCGGCGUGCCUAACACAUGCAAGUCGAACGGAAAGGCCCGGCUUUUGCGGGUUGCUCGAUUGGCGAACGGGUGAGUGACACGUGAGUAUCCUCCCCCUGUCUUUCGGAUAACUUCACGAAACUGCGGCUAAUACCGCAUAUGAGCUCCUGCAGCAUGGUGGGGGUUGGAAAGUGUCGGCGGUUGUGGAUGGUCUCGCGGCUUACGCGCUUGUUGGUGUGGUAGUUGCUUACCAAGGCUGUGACGGGUAGCCGGCAUGAGAGGGUUACCGGCGACAUUGGGCCUGAGGUACGGACCAGAAUCGAACGGUAGGCAGUGGUGGAGAGUAUUGCGCAGUGGGCGGAAGCCAGAUGUAGCGACGCCCGGUGCGGGAAGCCCGGUUUCGGGUUAUAAACCGAUUUCGCAUGUGACGAAGCGUGCGUGACGGUAAUGGGUAAGAAAGCCCCGGCUAACUACGUG